CUUCGGACCUGUGCCUGAAACGUCCACCAUAAGAUCUGUGCCUGAAACUACUGACACCUUUUUCUUUUCCCCCCUCAUAAAAACCAAAGGGUAGGAGUUUCUGCUGGAGCUAGCAGGCCACGGGGGAAAGACCUGUUUCAAAGGUAAAGCAGAAGGUUUCUUCAAGCUGCUUGGUAAAUCCCCAGGCUCUUCCCAAAGUGGAGAGCUGAGAAGUCCUCCUAUUUGAUGCUCCAAUUCUUAGGUGAAAGAAAAAAAUAUCUCCCAGCUUCGUCAUUGCUCAAGAUGAGGAAACUGAGCCUCAGAGAGUCUCACAAAAACACCCAAGGCCACAGAGCUGGAUGCAGCAGAGUGGGGAUUGGAUCAGCCUGAGGCCCCAAGCCAGAGCCAAAGGCAACAAGGACAUACCUGUCUGUCUUACCACUUUAACACCUAGCACAAUACUGGGAACUUCACAAACAGGAAAGCAUGCAACCAUGACAUAAAAAUGAUGAGCCUUGGAGGAAAACUCUAACCAACUUCCCUACAAAGACAUUCUUGA